GAAGAAGAUAUAAUGGAGAAGGAAGAAGAAAGGAGAAACAACGUUACACAUAUCAGACACCAAUUUCUCUCUCUGUAUAUCUCUCUCUCUCUCUCUC
rnacentral:ribozyme from 1 species